rnacentral:rRNA from 1 species
UACGUAGGGUGCGAGCGUUAAUCGGAAUUACUGGGCGUAAAGCGCACGUAGGCGGCUUUGUAAGUUAGAGGUGAAAGCCCGGAGCUCAACUCCGGAAUUGCCUUUAAGACUGCAUCGCUAGAACGUCGGAGAGGUGAGUGGAAUUCCGAGUGUAGAGGUGAAAUUCGUAGAUAUUCGGAAGAACACCAGUGGCGAAGGCGACUCACUGGACGACUGUUGACGCUGAGGUGCGAAAGCGUGGGGAGCAAACAGG